rnacentral:rRNA from 1 species
UACGACUACAUAUCAGGCAUAUCAAUAAGCGGAGGAAAAGAAACUAACUAGGAUUCCCUCAGUAACGGCGAGUGAAGCGGGAAGAGCUCAAAUUUGAAAUCUUCAAGGUUUUACCUUGACGAAUUGUAGUUUAAAGAAGUGUUUUCGGUUAGAGGAGUUUAGUAAAAGUUCUUUGGAAUAGGACAUCAUAGAGGGUGAGAAUCCCGUAUUUGACCUAUUAUUUCCUAGCUUUGUGAUACACUUUCAAAGAGUCGGAUUGUUUGGGAAUGCAGUCCAAAAUGGGUGGUAAAUUUCAUCUAAAGCUAAAUAUUGGCGAGAGACCGAUAGCGAACAAGUACCGUGAGGGAAAGAUGAAAAGAACUUUGAAAAGAGAGUUAAACAGUACGUGAAAUUGUCAAAAGGGAAGCGUUUGACACCAGUGUUGUUUCUACGAAAAUCAAUUUAUGAUGGCUUGAUGCUAAGCUUUAAGACUUUAUCCGCUUGUUGUUUAGUUUUCUUGUCUUUGUGAAUGCACUUUUCGUGGAACAAGUCAACAUCAAUUUCUUUUGCUGUAAAAGGGUAAGAGGAAGGUGGCUUCGGCUUCGGUUGAAGUGUUUAUAGCCUUUUAUCUCUGCAGUCGGAGAGAUUGAGGUCUGCAGCGUAGACUCUUCGGGGUUAGAUACGUCGGUGCUAAGCUAUAGCUUUUCAUAGACAACUUGUUGACUAUGUUUAGUCAUGUGGCUUACCCGCUGGCGCUAUUUUACCUACGCUUAGGAUGUUGACACACGCGCGUGCUCG